UGAGGAAUAUUGGUCAAUGGGCGCAAGCCUGAACCAGCCAUCCCGCGUGCAGGAAGACGGCGCUAUGUGUUGUAAACUGCUUUUCCAGGGAGAGAAACUUGCGCACGUGUUGCGCAAUUGACGGUACCCUGGGAAUAAGCAUCGGCUAACUCCAUGUCAGCAGCCGCGGUAAUACGGAGGAUGCGAGCGUUAUCCGGAUUCAUUGGGUUUAAAGGGUGCGUAGGCGGACUAUUAAGUCAGUGGUGAAAUCCUGCAGCUUAACUGCAGAACUGCCAUUGAUACUGAUAGCCUUGAGUUUGGUUAAGGUAGGCGGAAUGUGUAAUGUAGCGGUGAAAUGCUUAGAUAUUACACAGAACACCAAUUGCGUAGGCAGCUUACUGAGCCGACACUGACGCUGAGGCACGAAAGCGUGGGGAUCGAACAG
rnacentral:rRNA from 1 species